GAUAUGGCUCAGGAUGAACGCUAGCUACAGGCUUAACACAUGCAAGUCGAGGGGCAGCAUGACCUAGCAAUAGGUUGAUGGCGACCGGCGCACGGGUGAGUAACACGUAUCCAACCUACCGGUUAUUCCGGGAUAGCCUUUCGAAAGAAAGAUUAAUACCGGAUAGUAUAACGAGAAGGCAUCUUCUUGUUAUUAAAGAAUUUCGAUAACCGAUGGGGAUGCGUUCCAUUAGUUUGUUGGCGGGGUAACGGCCCACCAAG
rnacentral:rRNA from 1 species